AUACGGAGGGUGCAAGCGUUAUCCGGAUUUAUUGGGUUUAAAGGGUGCGCAGGCGGCGAGUCAAGUCAGCGGUCAAACUGCGGCGCUCAACGCCGUACCGCCGUUGAAACUGGCGCGCUCGAGUUUGUGCGAGGAUGGCGGAAUGCGCAGUGUAGCGGGGAAAUGCAUAGGUAUUGCGCAGAACUCCGAUUGCGAAGGCAGCUGGCCAGCACACUACUGACGCUCAUGCACGAAAGCGUGUGUAUCGAACAGGAUGAGAUACCCUCGUAGUCCACGCGGUAAACGAUGAUAACUAGUUAUCCGUUCCGAUUGGGGAAUGGGUGACCGAGCGAAAGCGUUAAGUUAUCCACCUGGGGAGUACGCCGGCAACGGUGAAACUCAAAGGAAUUGACGGGG
rnacentral:rRNA from 1 species